UACGUAGGGUGCGAGCGUUAAUCGGAAUUACUGGGCGUAAAGCGUGCGCAGGCGGUGAUGUAAGACCGAUGUGAAAUCCCCGGGCUUAACCUGGGAACUGCAUUGGUGACUGCAUCGCUCGAGUAUGGCAGAGGGGGGGUAGAAUUCCACGUGUAGCAGUGAAAAUGCGUAGAGAUGUGGAGGAACACCGAUGGCGAAGGCAGCCCCCCCUGGGGCUAAACACUGACGCUCAUGCACGAAAAGCGUGGGGGAGCAAAACAGG
rnacentral:rRNA from 1 species